CGGAUGUUAUUACUUGCUCGAUUGAUAUUAGGACUGCUAGGAGCAUCGUUGGGGCCCAAGGCCCAAUCCUGACUAUGGUCGACUGUCAAGCUUGGGCUAAUGAGAUAUCUGCUCAGAUGCUUGGCUUACAGAUAUUGCAACUGAGGAUAGAGAGGAGAUCUACAACAAAUGAAGAACUUUAUGCUGUGGAGUGGAUAGAGGGAAGAUCUACAACAAAUGAAGAACUUUAUGCUGUGG
rnacentral:lncRNA from 1 species